UAAGCAUAUCAAUAAGCGGAGGAAAAGAAACCAACAGGGAUUGCCCCAGUAACGGCGAGUGAAGCGGCAACAGCUCAAAUUUGAAAUCUGGCCCCUCCGGGUCCGAGUUGUAAUUUGUAGAGGAUGCUUUUGGUGAGGUGCCGCCCGAGUUCCCUGGAACGGGACGCCACAGAGGGUGAGAGCCCCGUCUGGCUGGCCACCGAGCCUCUGUAAAGCUCCUUCGACGAGUCGAGUAGUUUGGGAAUGCUGCUCAAAAUGGGAGGUAUAUGUCUUCUAAAGCUAAAUAUUGGCCAGAGACCGAUAGCGCACAAGUAGAGUGAUCGAAAGAUGAAAAGCACCUUGAAAAGAGGGUUAAACAGUACGUGAAAUUGUUGAAAGGGAAGCGCUUGUGACCAGACUUGGGCGCGGCGGAUCAUCCGGGGUUCUCUCCGGUGCACUUCGCCGCGUUCAGGCCAGCAUCAUUCGUCGCGGGGGAAAAAGGCUUCGGGAACGUGGCUCCUCCGGGAGUGUUAUAGCCCGUUGCAUAAUACCCUGCGGUGGACUGAGGACCGCGCAUCUGCAAGG
rnacentral:rRNA from 1 species